GUGUUGUAUGAAAAGAGAGGUUAGCACUCCCCUUGACAAGGAUGGAAGAAGUUAGGCCCUCGGGCCUAACAAUAUGCACAUGGUUAAGGCAUUGCCACUUACUUUAUGGCAUCUAACCAUCAUUUUUA
ensembl:snRNA